rnacentral:lncRNA from 1 species
AAGGAACCACACUUUUAUAGAGGAGAAAUGUAAGUUUAGGAUACCGUGCGGUUUGCUCCUCUAGAUUAUAAGGUAUCGGUUAGGGAUGCUCUAAGUAGAAGUUGUUGAGUGGAAACAAUAUAAUUCAGUUUUGCCAUUUGGUACUAUGUGCAGCUAGCUGGCAGAAACUUUAGAACUUCGCAAAUAUGUGUUUUCACCCUUAAAAAGAAGAUACUGAUUUCUAGUAUUUGAUUUAGCAUAUUGCAAAUGUUUUGAUUAAC